rnacentral:rRNA from 1 species
GACGAACGCUGGCGGCGUGCUUAACACAUGCAAGUCGAACGGAAAGGCCCUGCUUUUGUGGGGUGCUCGAGUGGCGAACGGGUGAGUAACACGUGAGUAACCUGCCCUUGACUUUGGGAUAACUUCAGGAAACUGGGGCUAAUACCGGAUAGGAGCUCCUGCUGCAUUGUGGGGGUUGGAAAGUUUCGGCGGUUGGGGAUGGACUCGCGGCUUAUCAGCUUGUUGGUGGGGUAGUGGCUUACCAAGGCUUUGACGGGUAGCCGGCCUGAGAGGGUGACCGGCCACAUUGGGACUGCGAGACGGCCCAGUCUCCUACGGGGGGCAGCAGUGGGGAAUAUUGCACAAUGGGCGGAAGCCUGAUGCAGCAACGCCGCGGGCGGGAUGACGGCCUUCGGGGUGUAAACCGCUUUCGCCUGUGACGAAGCGUGAGUGACGGUAAUGAGUAAAGAAGCACCGGCUAACUACGUG